rnacentral:rRNA from 1 species
CUUGACGACCAUAGAGCGUUGGAACCACCUGAUCCCAUUCCGAACUCAGAAGUGAAACAAUGCAUCGCCGAUGGUAGUGUGGGGUUUCCCCAUGUGAGAGUAGGUCAUCGUCAAGC